UACGGAGGGAGCUAGCGUUAUUCGGAAUUACUGGGCGUAAAGCGCACGUAGGCGGCUUGAUAAGUAAGAGGUGAAAGCCUGGAGCUCAACUCCAGAACUGCCUUUUAGACUGUCUCGCUUGAAUCCAGGAGAGGUGAGUGGAAUUCCGAGUGUAGAGGUGAAAUUCGUAGAUAUUCGGAAGAACACCAGUGGCGAAGGCGGCUCACUGGACUGGUAUUGACGCUGAGGAGCGAAAGCGUGGGGAGCGAACAGG
rnacentral:rRNA from 1 species